rnacentral:tRNA from 1 species
GGGUCGGUGGCAGAGUGGACAAUUGCACCAGACUGUAAAUCUGGCGCCUUACGGCUUCGUAGGUUCGAAUCCUACCCGGCCCA